rnacentral:lncRNA from 1 species
GCCUGGCAUGUCAGUCUCAACGCAGCGCCCGAGGGCUUCUUUAAAACCCAAGUCAAAUCAUACACUCCUCUGCUCAAAGGCCACCAAUCGCGCCCACACCAUCAAAGUAAAAGCCCAGGCCCAGGAAGUAGAAUGGGGGCUGUCAAGAGCUGGGGAAGGGGGAGCUAGUGUUUAAUAGGUGUAGCGUUUCAGCUGGGGGAUGAGAAAGUUCUGGAGAUGGAUGGUGGAGAUGGUUGUGCAACAAUGGGAAUGCUAUAAACGUGGGUGGGGAAGACUUCAGAGGAGGAAGUUUUAUGGGGGAGAGCAGGAGCUCAGUUUGGGGCAUGUCAAGAAUGAGAUGCCUUAUUAAACAUUCGAGCCAAGACACUGAACAGAGCUGAGUCUGGAGUUCACAGAGAGCCAAGCUGGGGACAUGGAUUUGCAAUCAAUCAGUGCACAGAUGGCAUCAGUUCCACGGGACUGAGAGUUCACCAGCGUAGCGAGAACAGCCAAAACCAAACCAAACCAAAACGUUCUCCACAGGUCCCAGGAGUGAGCCAGAGACUUUAAGCUGAAAGGUCAGCCAUCCAAGGAGGGAUCAGGAAGGGGAAGAGGAGGAACAGCAACGAGGGAGGGAGGACCGCCGGAAGGGUGAGCGCUAUGCUCGUGGGCUCGGGCGGAGUGGCACCUCGGGAGCUUCCUACUAUCAGGGUUUGUGCCUGCACGAAUCUGUCUACAGCCACUGCUAAAUCUGAGGGCCAUUGGGAGGCAGUUCAGGGUUUGGAGUUGUGUGAGGAGACAAGGUUAGGGAUGGGAAUUGAGGAGCAGUGCAGGAGGGCCGGGCGUGUAGGGAGGUGCCCCAUUGAAGGGAGUGGGAGUGUGUGGGUUGGGGAGCAGCUGUUCAGAGGGGUCCACUGUGGCCCCCAGACUCUGGGCUGAUCCCCAGAGUAAAGAAGAUGGACAUAUCCUCUAGGGACCUGCACUGUCCCCUCACACCCCCAUAAGAAUGGUCUGGGGCUGCUGAUAGAAG